CCUUGCUCAUCAAGCCAUCAAGUUUCUGGGCUUACUCUUUGCUUUCCUACAUUUAAGAUUCAAACAUUAACCCUAGCUGCAUAGUCCAUUUUCUUCCUUAGGUGAAUAAAUCAAGUGGAACCUGCCCUUCAACACCCUCUUUUGCAUCAAUCAGCCGGUUUUUGCUAGGCUCCCUUGAUUGUCUCAAUGAGCUCUUGAACCAUG
rnacentral:lncRNA from 1 species